UAAAGACGCAUGCAGGUGGUUUGUUUAAGUUACAGAUGUGAAAGACCCGGGGCGUCAACCUCCGGAAUUGCAUUUGUAAACUAGGCAGACUAGAGUACUGUAGAGGGGGGUAGGAAUUUCAGGUGUAGCGGUGAAAUAGCGUAGAGAUCUGAAGGAAUACCGGUGGCGAAGGCGGCCCCCUCGGACAGAUACUGACACUCAGAUGCGAAAGCGUGGGGAGCAAACAGGAUUAGAUACCCUGGUAG
rnacentral:rRNA from 1 species